CGCCUGGGGAGUACGGCCGCAAGGUUAAAACUCAAAUGAAUUGACGGGGGCCCGCACAAGCGGUGGAGCAUGUGGUUUAAUUCGACGCAACGCGAAGAACCUUACCUGGCCUUGACAUCCAGAGAGCUUUCCAGAGAUGGAUUGGUGCCUUCGGGAACUCUGAGACAGGUGCUGCAUGGCCGUCGUCAGCUCGUGUCGUGAGAUGUUGGGUUAAGUCCCGUAACGAGCGCAACCCCUAUCCCUGGUUGCUAGCAGGUAAUGCUGAGAACUCCAGGGAGACUGCCGGUGACAAACCGGAGGAAGGUGGGGAUGACGUCAGGUCAUCAUGGCCCUUACGGCCAGGGCUACACACGUGCUACAAUGGCGCGUACAGAGGGCUGCCAACUCGCGAGAGUGAGCCAAUCCCUUAAAACGCGUCGUAGUCCGGAUCGGAGUCUGCAACUCGACUCCGUGAAGUCGGAAUCGCUAGUAAUCGCGAAUCAGAAUGUCGCGGUGAAUACGUUCCCGGGCCUUGUACACACCGCCCGUCACACCAUGGGAGUGGAUUGCACCAGAAGUAGUUAGUCUAACCUUCGGGAGGACGAUUACCACGGUGUGGUUCAUGACUGGGGUGAAGUCGCAACAAGGUAACCGUA
rnacentral:rRNA from 1 species